rfam:Danio rerio chromosome 4, GRCz11 reference primary assembly.
GCAUUAAUGGUUCAGUGGUAGAAUUCUCGACUCCCACAUGGGAGACCUGGGUCUGAUUCCCAGCCAAUGCA